rnacentral:lncRNA from 10 species
GAACUAAGACACAUGAUGAAGCGGUCAGGCGUCAGUCACCACACAACUGUGCACAGUGCGUUCCAGUCUGCAUGGAUUUCAGGCAUCUCAAAUAGUGCCUUCAUCAUAGAAGGAUCAUCAUAAAUAGUGACUGUGUGAGUGGACAAAUAAGAAGAAGCAAAUAGAAUAGCUUGAAUCUGCUUUACACAACAGCACAGAGUACUGACAAGGAAAUGCCAGUUAAACUGUAACUGAGCACAGUGAGAGAGCAGCCUCGAGUGGCUGAACAAAAGACACCUUUCACUUUGGAGGAUCCCAAACUGCCAUUCAUGACUCAGCUCCGGGAAGGAAGACAAGCACAGCUAAACCAGAUCCUGGCUUCUGGAUGGAAAUGUCACUUCAGCCACAGUAACAAGUAUUCUGAUAUGACAGGAAGGAGGUGGGAAGGAAUCCUGCAUGUGACCAUCUCUCUAUCCCUACACUUUAUCCAAUCCUAUUUAGGGAACUUCAGAAGCACCCCACUUUAGUUUGUCAGGACUUCUUCAGCCCUCUGAAUAUGGCCACAUGGUGAUGUCAGCGUUAUCCGGGCAGCCAUUUCUCCAGUUUUGUGGAUCUUCAAAGAAAAUUCCACUGAAACAUGAGUGAUCUCAUAUUCAUUCGUUGCCAUGCAUUGCUUUAUGUUCCAUCCUAAUUGGGCACUCUGAACCCAACAUCAACACAUUAUUGGCAACUAAACCCACAGCAGCCUUGCCCCAAUUAUGAAUUUAUAAGCUUUUGACACACCACAUGAGGCAUGUUUAACCGUUAAAGACAAACUCAGGAACAGUUGGCUCUUAUUCUCAGCUGCAUGUUGCUCCAUGACUGCAAUUGGGCAACCCUAGACUUCAAAGGAUGUGAAACCCGACUCCAUCUCUUCGUGAAUCACUAUCCUUUCAGAGUAAAUCCCAGCACAUUGCAGAACCAUUAAGACACAUGUUUUAUGUCUCAACCAGGGAAACAAAUUCCUGUGUUGAAAAUGAAACCAUUUUCCCUCUUCCUGAUGAAAGGUAUGAGAUCUUGUUUUGAAAACUGUUGCAGAGUAAUCACAAAUUCAUCAUCAUAUUUGGGAACUGGGAUGAUUCAUAACCAGUCAUUCUUAAUAAGUGGCAGAUUUAAGUAGCUCACAGUCAAUUGUAUAACAAUUGGAAAGACUUCAUUGCAUCCAGCCUGAAACCACAGCUCUCAGGACAGGUCCCAAGAGUCACUUGAGUGGUGAAAGCAACACUUAGUAUUGGACACUGGGCACAAAUAUGCAAAUGAUGGUUAAAGGAAGUGAAGAAAUACACUAUUUAUAAUGUUUAUCACUUUUUUGUUUUUUUUUUCCUCUUCCUAUAUGUUGUAAGUAGUAAGCAUUUAUCUAAAAGAACCCUACCAAAAAUCUUGUUUUCUUUUGAUAUUUAAGACCAAUGCUCAUAUCCUGAAGAGGAAGUCCUGAGCAAUUUUUCAAGUUUCAAAAUUAAACCUGUCCUACCUGAAUCUGACUCUUAUUCACUAAAAAAUAAAAAAGGACAGAAAAGAGCUCUCCAUGAUUCCAGUGGAAGUUUAGGGCCCUUAUUAGGCUGAGAAAGGCUUCAAGAAUCAGAGAGAUACUGAGCAGAAGACAAAGAAGAAGACAGAAGACAAAGAAGAGAAAAGCAGGAGAGAGGAAAAUGAGGAGAAGGAGAAGUGCUGAGCAGAAGAAUAAAAGACAAGCCAUGCAGAAGCAAAACAAAGCCAAAGGCGCUCCUUUGCUGACUGCGGGUGGAUUCACUGACUCUGAGACGCCAUGUGGCUCUGCCUGGAAUCGAGGCUCUUGAGAAAGAAUGCCCUAGUUGGAGGAGCGUGUCUGGGAUCACAUCAGCCCAUCCAUCUGUUUGUCCUCCCAACUAGAUCCGUCUCUGCCCUCCUCUAGCCCCGAGAGGCUGCCUUCCACAUGGGCAUCACUGGGCUCCAGCUCCUUUGCCAGUGCCUACAUUUGGGCUCAGCCAAUGGAAGCAGGCACCAGCUGGAUAUCAGAGGCUGAGAAGUGAGAGAGAUCAGAGCCCUGCCUCUAUGGCCUCUCUGGCCACGUGUCUGGCACUGGCUUCCUUCCUCUAGGCUACAGCUCCUCCCAAAGGCCCCUCCUUCACUGCCUCAGUUUCACUUAGCAUCUGCAAAAAUUAUUUCAUCUUCUUGGCCCUUCAGGCUAAGCUUUCCUUAUGACUUCGCACGGUGGUUAGUCUUGGGUGUCUCAUCCUCCCUUGCUAGUUUUCUUAACCUACCCAUGCCUUUAGAAAUAGUAACUAAAAAAAAUCUCUGGUUCUCCUCAAGGAUCUAGAACCAGAAAUACCAUUUGACCCAGCAAUCCCAUUACUGGGUAUGUACCCAAAGGAUUAUAAAUCCUUCUAGUAUAAAGACAUAUGCACAUGUAUGUUCAUUGCAGCACUAUUCACAAUAGGAAAGACUUGGAAACAACCCAAAUGCCCAUCAAUGAUAGACUGGACAAAGGAAAUGUGUCACAUAUACUUCACGGAAUACUAUGCAGCCAUAAAAAAGGAUGAGUUCAUGUCCUUUGCAGGGACAUGGAUGAAACUAGAAACCAUCAUUCUCAGCAAAUGAAAACAGGAACAGAAAACCAAACACCUCAUAUUCUCACUCAUAAGUGGGGGUUGAACAGUGAGAACACGUGGACACAGGGAGGGGAACAUCACACACCGGGGCCUGUCCGGGGGUUGGGGGGUUAGGGGAGGGAUAGCAUUAGGAGAAAUACCUAAUGUAGAUGACGGGUUGAUGAGUGCAGCAAACCACCAUGGCACGUGUAUACCUAUGUAACAAACUUGCAUGUUCUGCACAUGCAUCCCAGAACUGAAAGUAUAAUUUCAAAAGGAAAGAAAAAAGUCUCUGGUCAAACAUCUGAAUGGAAUUCUGUUUUCUGCUGGGACUCUGAGCAGUACAGGAAGCAAGGACCUACCAUCUGGUGCCCUCCUAGUAGCAGCUGCUCCAACUUUGGCAGAUGUGGGGAACUUGAGAUUUUCCACUCACCAUCACCAUCAUCAUCAGCACCCUGAUCCGGAUGUGGAAGAUGAGGAAACCAAGACAGAGGCAGAAGUAACCUACCCAAAGAUACACAGUAGGUAAGUGGCAGAGCUGGGGCUCAGACCCCAGCAGUCAGGCUCCGAAGCCACACGUGUAAUGACUACAUUAUAAUGCUUUACUCCAGA